rnacentral:rRNA from 1 species
GGUUAACCGAAUAGGGGAGCCGGAGGGAAACCGAGUCUUAAUUGGGCGUUAAGUUGCAGGGUAUAGACCCGAAACCCGGUGAUCUAGCCAUGGGCAGGUUGAAGGUUGGGUAACACUAACUGGAGGACCGAACCGACUAAUGUUGAAAAAUUAGCGGAUGACCUGUGGCUGGGGGUGAAAGGCCAAUCAAACCGGGAGAUAGCUGGUUCUCCCCGAAAGCUAUUUAGGUAGCGCCUCGUGAAUUCAUCUCCGGGGGUAGAGCACUGUUUCGGCUAGGGGGCCAUCCCGGCUUACCAACCCGAUGCAAACUGCGAAUACCGGAGAAUGUUAUCACGGGAGACACACGGCGGGUGCUAACGUCCGUCGUGAAGAGGGAAACAACCCAGACCGCCAGCUAAGGUCCCAAAGUCAUGGUUAAGUGGGAAACGAUGUGGGAAGGCCCAGACAGCCAGGAUGUUGGCUUAGAAGCAGCCAUCAUUUAAAGAAAGCGUAAUAGCUCACUGGUCGAGUCGGCCUGCGCGGAAGAUGUAACGGGGCUAAACCAUGCACCGAAGCUGCGGCAGCGACACUGUGUGUUGUUGGGUAGGGGAGCGUUCUGUAAGCCUGUGAAGGUGUGUCGUGAGGCAUGCUGGAGGUAUCAGAAGUGCGAAUGCUGACAUAAGUAACGAUAAAGCGGGUGAAAAGCCCGCUCGCCGGAAGACCAAGGGUUCCUGUCCAACGUUAAUCGGGGCAGGGUGAGUCGACCCCUAAGGCGAGGCCGAAAGGCGUAGUCGAUGGGAAACGGGUUAAUAUUCCCGUACUUGGUGUUACUGCGAAGGGGGGACGGAGAAGGCUAUGUUGGCCGGGCGACGGUUGUCCCGGUUUAAGCGUGUAGGUGUGUGUUCCAGGUAAAUCCGGUUCACUUUAACACUGAGGCGUGACGACGAGGCACUACGGUGCUGAAGCAACAAAUGCCCUGCUUCCAGGAAAAGCCUCUAAGCAUCAGGUAACAUCAAAUCGUACCCCAAACCGACACAGGUGGUCAGGUAGAGAAUACCAAGGCGCUUGAGAGAACUCGGGUGAAGGAACUAGGCAAAAUGGUGCCGUAACUUCGGGAGAAGGCACGCUGACACGUAGGUGAAGUGAUUUACUCAUGGAGCUGAAGUCAGUCGAAGAUACCAGCUGGCUGCAACUGUUUAUUAAAAACACAGCACUGUGCAAACACGAAAGUGGACGUAUACGGUGUGACGCCUGCCCGGUGCCGGAAGGUUAAUUGAUGGGGUCAGCGCAAGCGAAGCUCCUGAUCGAAGCCCCGGUAAACGGCGGCCGUAACUAUAACGGUCCUAAGGUAGCGAAAUUCCUUGUCGGGUAAGUUCCGACCUGCACGAAUGGCGUAAUGAUGGCCAGGCUGUCUCCACCCGAGACUCAGUGAAAUUGAACUCGCUGUGAAGAUGCAGUGUACCCGCGGCAAGACGGAAAGACCCCGUGAACCUUUACUAUAGCUUGACACUGAACAUUGAGCCUUGAUGUGUAGGAUAGGUGGGAGGCUUUGAAGUGUGGACGCCAGUCUGCAUGGAGCCGACCUUGAAAUACCACCCUUUAAUGUUUGAUGUUCUAACGUGGACCCGUUACCCGGGUUGCGGACAGUGUCUGGUGGGUAGUUUGACUGGGGCGGUCUCCUCCUAAAGAGUAACGGAGGAGCACGAAGGUUGGCUAAUCCUGGUCGGACAUCAGGAGGUUAGUGCAAUGGCAUAAGCCAGCUUGACUGCGAGCGUGACGGCGCGAGCAGGUGCGAAAGCAGGUCAUAGUGAUCCGGUGGUUCUGAAUGGAAGGGCCAUCGCUCAACGGAUAAAAGGUACUCCGGGGAUAACAGGCUGAUACCGCCCAAGAGUUCAUAUCGACGGCGGUGUUUGGCACCUCGAUGUCGGCUCAUCACAUCCUGGGGCUGAAGUAGGUCCCAAGGGUAUGGCUGUUCGCCAUUUAAAGUGGUACGCGAGCUGGGUUUAGAACGUCGUGAGACAGUUCGGUCCCUAUCUGCCGUGGGCGCUGGAGAACUGAGGGGGGCUGCUCCUAGUACGAGAGGACCGGAGUGGACGCAUCACUGGUGUUCGGGUUGUCAUGCCAAUGGCACUGCCCGGUAGCUAAAUGCGGAAGAGAUAAGUGCUGAAAGCAUCUAAGCACGAAACUUGCCCCGA